rnacentral:rRNA from 1 species
CCUACGGGUGGCAGCAGUGGGGAAUAUUGGACAAUGGGCGAAAGCCUGAUCCAGCCAUGCCGCGUGUGUGAAGAAGGCCUUCGGGUUGUAAAGCACUUUCAGUGGGGAAGAAAGCCUUGGGGCUAAUACCCUCGAGGAAGGACAUCACCCACAGAAGAAGCACCGGCUAACUCCGUGCCAGCAGCCGCGGUAAUGCGGAGGGUGCGAGCGUUAAUCGGAAUUACUGGGCGUAAAGCGCGCGUAGGCGGUCUGAUAAGCCGGUUGUGAAAGCCCCGGGCUCAACCUGGGAACGGCAUCCGGAACUGUCAGGCUAGAGUGCAGGAGAGGAAGGUAGAAUUCCCGGUGUAGCGGUGAAAUGCGUAGAGAUCGGGAGGAAUACCAGUGGCGAAGGCGGCCUUCUGGACUGACACUGACGCUGAGGUGCGAAAGCGUGGGUAGCAAACAGGAUUAGAUCCCCUAGUAGUC